CAGCUUUCUAAGUAGGGUGAAAGGAUUAAGUAAGAACUGUUCUAGGCCGGGCGCGGUGGCUCAUACCCAAAGAGAAUUCUUCAGUGUGGUUCCAACAGAGGGGAACCAGCCUUCCAGGAAUGGGAUUGAGGGUCAGCCCGAUGAAGGACAGAUAUUGAUUUUACAUGUUAGCAAAGCUGCAGUCUGAAGAUCUGCAGAGGGAAAGUCUCUGAGAAACUCACAGAAUGGCUCUAAAAAGAGAAAGAGCCUGCAUUAUGCAUGGGCCCUCCAUGGCUCCAGGUUCAGAUGACAGCAGUACCAGCCACAGUCGAAAUAUACUUUGCCCUAAUCUACUCUCCCACUGGUUUGACCAUAGAGAGGUCAGAAACAGUCAGUGACUGAGGACAGAGAGAAAAGGCUGAGAAAGCCUCCUCCCCCACUGUGGGCCUCCCAACGACAGGCAAACCGAAGCUAAGAGAGAGAAGAGUUUUAACACUGAAUAGUGAGUUUUUAUACCUCCCUAAUUGAACUGGAGUGUGAUUAUUAGACUGACUUUUUAGUGCUCCUCUACCUCAAAAGGGACUAGUUCAUUAAUUUUUUUUUUUUUUUUUUUUUGGUAAUUUUUUGUAGAGGCAAAGGCCAGGCUGGUCUGAAACUCCUGGCCUCACGCCAUCCUCUCACCUCAGCCUCCCAAAGAACUGGAAUUAUAGGCAUGAACCACCGUGCCUGGCUAAUUAACUAUUAAAUGACUAAAAAACCUACUUUAGAUCUUAUGGAGGUAUAGAAAAAAUGGAUCUACAGAGUCUCAAAGGAGUAGUAGCAAGUGGAAUCACUCUUAUAUUUGGACCUAACGGUCUACUGCAGUCAAUAACUACCACAUUCAAGAACUUCACAAUGCGAUGAAAUGUAAGAGAACUAACCUAAAACAGAUAAUUAGGGAAACUUGACUGAAGAAGCAAAUAUUAAGUUUUCAUCUGAAAAAUAAGUGUUACCUGGGUAAAAGGAGUGGGAUGCGGGAGCGUAAAGGUCAGAAAAAGCUAUUUGGAAAAAGGGGGAAAAAAACCAUGAGAAAGCCUGUGGUAGGAAACAGCACUGUUGCAGAUACUGUGGCUGCAUAACAAAUGACCCCAAAACAUAGCGGCACAAAACAACAAUUCAUUUUAUUUCUACCAGUUCCAUAGGUUGAUUGGGCUCAGCUAGUUGGUUCUUUAUUAGAGUCUCACAAGGAUGUAGUAAGAUAAUAGCUGUGGCUGAAGUCAUCUGAAGGCUUGUUAAGGCUGGACAUCCAGGAUGGCUCCCACACAUGGCUGGAAAUGAUGUUGGCUGUCAGUUGGGAGCUUAGCUUGGGAUUUCAGCUGGAGCAUCUACACAGGACACCUCCAUGUGGCCUGGACUUCACAGCAUGGUAUCUGGGUUUGGAGAGGGAAUGUUCUAAGACUGAGUGUUCCAAGAGAACUGGUUUAAGGACACAUGAUCUUUAGGACCUCAUGAGAAGAGUGUCAUUUCAGGCACACUCUAUUGGUCAAAACCAUCACAAGCCAGCCUAGAUUCAAGGGGAUGGGAAUCUCAAUGCAAGAUUGAUCGAAGGAUUUUAAGGCCAUGUUUUUAAACUACCAUAGGCAUGGCCCACUGGAAAAACUAAAAGGUCAGUGUGCCUGAAGUAUAGAACUUGCCAAUGAGUUUGUAAGGCCAUUUAAAGAGCUUGGAAGCUAUCCUCAGAGUCAUGGGAUGAAAUUAAAAGAUUAUUGAGAAAUGAGUAAUUAUCAAGGAUAAUGUAGAAGAUCAUUAAAAUUAUUCAUGGAGCCAAGAAUCUGAGUAAUUUCCUAUGGAAAGAAAUAAAUUAUUGCUUGUUAAGAAUCUACUUUUAAUCAAGACAAGCACCACUAUAGUAGUCAAGACACAUUGCAUAGUAUUGGGCAGAUUUGGGGGUAGCCAGGCCAGAUUGGAAAUGUAAGGUAAAGUUUCCUCUUCAUGAAAAUUUACCUUUUGAUGAAUGUGCAUUUGAAAUAAGAGCUAUCUCCAUUUUGAGGUUUGUUAAAGUAUUUAUGUUCCCCUCCAUUCAUCUCUUUUUUUUUUUUUUUUUUUGAGAUGGAGUCUUCCUCUUUCUCCCAGGCCGGACUGCCAUGGCGCUAUCUCGGCUCACUGCAAGCUCCAACUCCCGGGUUCACGCCGUUCUC
rnacentral:lncRNA from 1 species